rnacentral:rRNA from 1 species
GAUGAACGCUGGCGGCGUGCCUAAUACAUGCAAGUCGAGCGAAUGUAUUAAGAGCUUGCUCUUAUGAAGUUAGCGGCGGACGGGUGAGUAACACGUGGGUAACCUGCCCAUAAGACUGGGAUAACUGCGGGAAACCGGGGCUAAUACCGGAUAACAUUUUGAACAGCAUGGUUCGAAAUUGAAAGGCCGCUUCGGCUUUCACUUAACGAUGGAACCGAGUCGCAUUCGCUAGUUGGUGAGGUAACGGCUCACCAAGGUAACGAUGCGUAGCCGACCUGAGAGGGUGAGCGGCCACACUGGGACUGAGACACGGCCCAGACUCCUACGGGAGGCAGCAGUAGGGAAUCUUCCGCAAUGGACGAAAGUCUGACGGAGCAACGCCACGUGAGUGAUGAAGGCUUUCGGGUCGUAAAACUCUGUUGUUAGGGAAGAACAAGUGCUAGUUGAAUAAGCUGGCACCUUGACGGUACCUAACCAGAAGGCCACGGCUAACUACGUGCCAGCCGCCGCAGUAA